UUGGUGUUAGACGUGUCAAAAAAAUAGUUUAUACGAAGAGAAAAAAAAAAUAUUCGAAGAUUUAAUUGAAUAAUUUUUAAGGAGAUAAAAGGAUCACGAGCAUACCACAUCAAACUAAUUUUUAUUUUCCUGUUGUUUGGAUGAUGAUAUCGCCGAUUCCUCUGUGAAUCGGCGCUGUCUACGAUUCCCAAAUUUCCUUAGACAUCAAUCCCCUAAUUAUUAUAUAAUCGGUCCCAAAGACCAAUUGAUGCCUUUUAAAGGCGGAUAUUGAGAUUUUUGAUUCUACUAAUAUCAAGACCGGAGUCUUCUAAUCGAUGGUUUGAUUAGAGCUCAAAGAACCCAAAAUUGACCUAAUACCCUGACUCGUCAAAUCAAUACAUCAAAUGCUAGAGUCUUCCCGUCCAUAGUUUUAUUGGAGCCCAAUGGAUACAGCAUUUCCCUAUUACCGAAUUGUGUCAAUUAAAGAAUCCUGGGGAUUCUCAUUCUUUUUCAAUUGAAGAUAAAACAAGAAUAAUGUAUAGUAUAUACAUUUAGUUUAUUUUCCCCAUUAUUACACACAAGACAAUUAUUAAAUGUAUAUGUUACUUUGGCGCACGAGCAAAGCAAAUUUGAAGCCUUAACUUUUAUAACCACCCAGAACUAUAGCAAUUUCAAAUCCCACGUCUGAAGGCCUAAGGACAUCAUGGAUAUUAGCUGAGACAAUAAUAUAUUGUUAGUGGCUAUAUUCCAAAGUGGAGAUGACCCAUCUUUUUAGAUCUGCAGAUCCCAGGCCUGCCGUUAUGCAUCCUUUAGUAGGUUAGAUAAGACUUAGUGUUUGGCGAACCUCCCCAAUCCCCAAAACACCCCUAAAUCGGGCAUAUUUACAGACCAUGUAAAUUUGGAGCAAAUCAAAGGCAUUUGGAGUGUAGAGCAACAUUUGUUACCCACUUUCGGGACCAAUUUUCUGGGGGUCUACCUCUCCCCCGAAAACACCACUAAAUCAGACAUCAUGAGAAUAUCGGGCUAAAAUUAAGUAUUUCUGAAAUGGAGUACACCUUACAUCCAAACUUAAAUUUGUAGACCAAUAAAGAUCAUGUGGGAUUCAGAUAAA